rnacentral:rRNA from 1 species
UACGUAGGGGGCAAGCGUUGUCCGGAAUCAUUGGGCGUAAAGAGCGCGUAGGCGGCCCUGUAAGUCCGCUGUGAAAGUCGAGGGCUCAACCCUCGAAUGCCGGUGGAUACUGUCGGGCUAGAGUACGGAAGAGGCGAGUGGAAUUCCUGGUGUAGCGGUGAAAUGCGCAGAUAUCAGGAGGAACACCAAUUGCGAAGGCAGCUCGCUGGGACGUUACUGACGCUGAGACGCGAAAGCGUGGGGAGCGAACAGG